CCCCUAGACGUUCUGGGCUGCACGCGCGCUACAAUAAUACGCACAGCGAGUAUCACCGAGCUCGAAAGGGCAAGGUAAACAAUAGAAAAGGUACUGUAAUGGUUAUAGAUCCUUGUAAUUAUUGAUCUUCAACGAGGAAUUCCUAGUAAGUAUGUGUCAUCAUCACGCACUGAUUACGUCCCUGCCCUUUGUACACACCGCCCGUCGCUCCUACCGAUUGGGUGAGCCGAUGAAACUCUCGGAUGUAGGCUAUUCAUAGCCCGCAGAAGAGAUUUGAAUCGUAGCGCUUAGAGGAAGGAGAAGUCGUGACA
rnacentral:rRNA from 1 species